rnacentral:rRNA from 1 species
UUAAGCUGCCAGAUUUCUCAAGAGACUUAUCCGGCCGGCUACAGACCCUUUAGACCCAAUAAUAACGGUUACCACUCGAGCCGCCGGUGUUACCGCGGCGGCUGGCACCGGUCUUGCCCGGCCCUUGCUAUGAAAUGCUUUUUAGGCAUCUCGACAGCCAGAUUUGUAACCUGGCACUCGAGGUUCCCUUAUCGCUGUUGCCAGCAUUGUAAAGUUUUCGCGCCUGCUGCACCCCGUAGGGCCUGGAUUCGUGUCUCAGAAUCCAUCUCCGGGCUCUUGCUCUCACAACCCGUACCCGUCGUAGGCUAGUAGGUACGCUACACCCACUACUACCUGAUAGGCCGCAGACCCAUCCUUAGGCGCCGGAGCUUUAAAUCUCGAUGCAUUCCAGCAAUCGAGACCUAUCGGGUAUUAUACCCAGUUUC